rnacentral:rRNA from 1 species
GACGAACGCUGGCGGCGUGCUUAACACAUGCAAGUCGAACGGAAAGGCCCUGCUUUUGUGGGGUGCUCGAGUGGCGAACGGGUGAGUAACACGUGAGUAACCUGCCCUUGACUUUGGGAUAACUUCAGGAAACUGGGGCUAAUACCGGAUAGGAGCUCCUGCUGCAUGGUGGGGGUUGGAAAGUUUCGGCGGUUGGGGAUGGACUCGCGGCUUAUCAGCUUGUUGGUGGGGUAGUGGCUUACCAAGGCUUUGACGGGUAGCCGGCCUGGGAGGGUGACCGGCCACAUUGGGACUGAGAGACGGCCCAGACUCCUACGGGAGGCAGCAGUGGGGAAUAUUGCACAGUGGGCGGAAGCCUGAUGCAGCAACGCCGCGUGCGGGAUGACGGCCUUCGGGUUGUAAACCGCUUUCGCCUGUGACGAAGCGUGAGUGACGGUAAUGGGUAAAGAAGCACCGGCUAACUACGUG